AACGAACGCUGGCGGCAGGCCUAACACAUGCAAGUCGAGCGCGCCCUUCGGGGUAAGCGGCGGACGGGUGAGUAACGCGUGGGAACGUGCCCUUUUCUACGGAAUAGCCUCGGGAAACUGAGAGUAAUACCGUAUACGCCCUUUGGGGGAAAGAUUUAUCGGAAAAGGAUCGGCCCGCGUUGGAUUAGGUAGUUGGUGGGGUAAUGGCCUACCAAGCCGACGAUCCAUAGCUGGUUUGAGAGGAUGAUCAGCCACACUGGGACUGAGACACGGCCCAGACUCCUACGGGAGGCAGCAGUGGGGAAUCUUAGACAAUGGGGGCAACCCUGAUCUAGCCAUGCCGCGUGAGUGAUGAAGGCCUUAGGGUUGUAAAGCUCUUUCAGCUGGGAAGAUAAUGACGGUACCAGCAGAAGAAGCCCCGGCUAACUCCGUG
rnacentral:rRNA from 1 species